rnacentral:sRNA from 1 species
AAUAUCACGUGAAAAGGUGGUACAGUAUUCUAGUCAGGUAAGCAUUUCCCCAGGGCGGGGCUAAAAAUCCGCUAAAGGGCAUAUCGAUGAAGCUUCUUGUGCUGGCUUACGACGCCCAGUUGUGGGCUGGUGCUGGGAGUAAAGGAGAAUGGGGCAACCGCAAUGGCAUGCGCAAUUGACCCUAUAUCCGUGGAGACCUCUGCUUGUAUAUAAGGUUAGCUGCCGUAUAUACGACAGUGGAUUAAACCUGCAUUGUGGCAAAAAAAGUUAUGUGCAGUGUAGCCUGCCUUGAGUAAAGGGGUAGAGGUGAGGUGGCGAUCUAAAUAAAAAUUUGGCCAAAAUUUUUAGAUUUUGCUCACUGAAACCUUUUUUGCAAAAGAGGCUAAGGAAAUGCCUAACUGUCGAGGAAAUCUCCUAGACUGUUAUUUUUUAAUAGGCAUAUUGGGGAUUACAGUGUGGACUAAGUGGUGAUCCAGUUCUGCUUACUUGGCGACAAAGUAGAUAAGGCAUUAAAGGGAAACCGUCAAAAUGGCGACAUUUUGAUUGCUUUAUGGGAAAUCCUACUGGACCUAAGCCGCAAAGUUUACUCAAUAUGCUACCACUUAAUUUUCACUUUUA